rnacentral:rRNA from 1 species
UACGUAGGGGGCAGCAGUGUUCGGAUCCGAAUUGGUGGCGUAAAGAGCGUGUAGGCGGUCCGGUAAGUCCGCUGUGAAAGUCGGGGGCUCAACCCUCGAAUGCCGGUGGAUACUGUCGGGCUAGAGUGCGGAAGAGGCGAGUGGAAUUCCUGGUGUAGCGGUGAAAUGCGCAGAUAUCAGGAGGAACACCUAUUGCGAAGGCAGCUCGCUGGGACGGUACUGACGCUGAGGCGCGAAAGCGUGGGGAGCGAACCGG